GUUUAUACUUUAUAGUCAAGCCUAUGAAAAACUUGCCAUUGAGGGAAUUUGAGAGGAACUAUUUCUCUUGAAGUACGUGGUUUUGAGAAUUGAAUGUUUAAGAACUCUGAAGUCUAUAAUUUGAAACCUACUUGAUAAUUACUUCCUUUCUGUGUAGCAUGGGUACUCCUAAAAUAGUGACGUAUUCAUACCGGGUACGUACCAGUACUGGAUAUUGAAGCAUACGACAUUGUCACAAUGGAGCUUUGACAACAGAAUUGAAGCAUACUGCGUUAGAAUGAAAAAAGAAAAAAAUAAUGGAAUUUUUUUAGAUGUCAAAUGUGUGGAAUUUUUUUAUUUUUCUUGAGAAUGAUAAUAACAUUGAAUGUCAACCAAAAUACCUCAAUGUUUAGAUUAAGAACUUAAGCAAUCAAUGGCCGUCACAGUCUUGUGCUUGAGACGAAUUGCACAGCUCAUGUCUGAUGGUUCCCAUAAUGAAUUAUAUGUACCUCCAAGCAGGUUCUGACAAUUAAUGGCUUCUCUUUUCUCUAGUGUCAUUGAAAAUGUAGUAAAUCCUCAAGAUGUACCGUACAUCUUUAGCCUUCGGGAAAAUAUAUAUCGUUGUUGCUUGACUCUUUACGAGAUGUUUCCUUACGGUUUAAACAUGAAUGCAAGUUCUUAUGAGUUUCUUCUUCAAUCAUAGCUUGUGAUCAGGGACGGAGGCACGUUGAAGAGGGAGGGGGCACCUGCCUGCACUAAAUUUUGAGAUUUAUUUUUCAUAUAUAUACUAGUACUAGUACUUCAUAUAUAAUGUGUUGAAAGUUGAAACUAUACCAAGCUAGGCUCACAUUUAUUUAUCAUCAUUCUAAAGAUGUACUACAAUUCACCUAAGUACCAACUACACACUACAACUACACACAACACACGUGAUACAUUUUUUCAAAUACAAUUUUAAAGAAUUUUUAUUCAAACAAACAACAAUUUAAGAACUAGUUAAGGAUUAGCGGUGUCACUUGUUGCUCGUUUAUUUUUUUAUUAUUUACUCCGGUGUAAUUAUUUUGGAUAUAUAGAACAAUUUAACAAAGGAAAAUGUUAAAUAGUAUGUAUGUGACACUAGUUAAAGAAUUAAAUAUGAUAAAGUUAUCUUAAAAUUUGUGUAGUCAACUAUUUAAAAAUACAAAUAAUGUUAUUUUCAAUACAUUUUUUUAGAUAGAUUUUUUAUAUCUAGUAGUUCAAUAGCUAGAAUUUCACACCUAAAGGUGAAUAUAUAAUUGGGUUGUUCAGGGUUCCAACUCCAACACUUGCAUACUACAAUGUCCCUAACAAUUGAAUUAAGUUCAAGGUGGCAAAGAGAAUUUUAUGUUUUCUUUGUCACAUAGCAUAGUGGCUAGAAUUCAACUCUUAAGGUGACUAAGUGGAGUGUCUGGGAUUCGAAUCUCGACUUCUACAUAAAAAAUGUGAUUUCCCUACAAACUGAGUUAUGCUCACGAAGAUAGAAAUUGAGAUUUUUUAUUGAGAUUGAAAAUGAGAAAAUGAUUCAAUAUUUCCAAAAUAUAGCCGUAGAGAACAUUUGUAAUGUAUAUUUAUUUAUGCUUCAAAAUAUGAAAUACUGGAGUAUAUUUAUUUAGGCUCCUUCAUCAGACAACCUAAGCUUUGGGGAUAUGUGGGUAUGACUAAGUGGUCUAGAGUUUGAUACUUGUUAACCUCAUACUUCUAAUAAAAUUUGAUUGGAUUUAGGUGGCGUGGUUGUUGACACAUUUAUUCAUGAAACAACAUAGAUCCAUACAUGAAAAAACUAAACUGAGAUUCUUCAAGGAAAAUAUACCUUGAAGAAGUUCUUUCGGCAAAUAUAGGGAGUGCUCAUCUUCAUUGGUUUUUGUUUUUCCCCGUGUUACUUCCUCUACGGCGUAUAUCCACUUGCCUAGUAUCUUCUUGAUCCAUGUUUCUUCCCCAUCUUUAUUGUUAUCUCUUGCAUCUACAAUACAAUCACUCAUGUUGGUGACAUAAUAGUCAUGAAACGCAUAGUUUUAAAGAUUAAAAAAAAAGAAAAGGAGAGGUGACUAAAUAUACCAGGUUGUGGUCAUUCAUAUAAACAACUUAUGUUCCAAACUAAUAUAAAUAAGCAAAUUCUUUAGAGACUAAUAUAAAAAAGAAAAUUUGUACAUUAUAAAAAAUUAAAAUUUAUAGUUUUAAGUAUUAAUAAUGACACAAAUUUGAAGAAAAUAUUCUAAAUGUAAAUUUUUAACAACAAAAUAUUAAAUUAUUUAAAAACAAUUACUUGAUAAUAAACAUAUAUUAAAUUAACAAAUAAUGAAAGUUUAAGAUAGAAAUUUGUUACCGAAGAUUAAUCAAAGAAAUUACGGUCGAUGAUGAACACAAAAAUAAGUCAUUGUCCUGUAAAGCAGUAGCUUCAACUCCAGCAACAGAAUCUCUGACAGCAGAUAUGGUAGCAUGGUAGCAGGAAGAAGGAGAAAAGAGAGUAAGAGAUGGAGAAAGGUAAAUGAAGAAUCUGAGGUUGGAGUUUUAUGGACAAGUUUUGGGAUUAGAUUUGUGCAGGACAAAUGUGUGUUUGAGAGAAUGGUUUGUGGGAGUGACAAUUUGAAUGGAGUGUGAAAGAAUGAUUUGUGGUUUGUGUGAUGUCUUGUUGAGAGAUCUAAUAGAUCUAUGAGAAAUUAAAGUGUGAAAGAAAAAAACAAAAAAUUGAGUUUUGACAUAGUACUGGAGACAAUCCAGUCUCCUA
rnacentral:lncRNA from 1 species